CCCUUAGAUGUUCUGGGCCGCACGCGCGCUACACUGGUUCAGUCAACGAGUUCAUUUCACCUUGAUCGAGAGGUCUGGGUAAUCUUCGAAACUGAAUCGUGAUGGGGAUAGUUCAUUGUAAUUGUUGAUCUUAAACGAGGAAUUCCUAGUAAACGUGAGUCAUCAGCUCACAUUGAUUACGUCCCUGCCCUUUGUACACACCGCCCGUCGCUACUACCGAUUGAAUGGUUUAGUGAGGCCUCGGGACUGGCGCGCUCGAGUAGCAAUACACCUGCGCGCCGGGAACUUGGUCAAACUUGAUCAUUUAGAGGAAGUAAAANUCGUANCA
rnacentral:rRNA from 1 species